rnacentral:rRNA from 1 species
CUGGAGCAUCAGGUAAUGAGGGUUUGAUCCUGGCUCAGAUUGAACGCUGGCGGGAUGUUUACACAUGCAAGUCGAACGGCAGCACGGACUUCGGUCUGGUGGCGAGUGGCGAACGGGUGAGCAAUGUAUCGGAACGUGCCUAGUAGCGGGGAUAACUACGCGAAAGCGUAGCUACUUACCGCAUACUGCCCUUCGUGGAAAGCGGGGGACCUUCGGCCCCCUGCACUAUUAGAGCGCCGGAUAUCGGAUUAGCUAGUUGGUGGGCACGGCUCACCAAGGCGACGAUCCGUAGCUGGUUUGAGAGGACGACCAGCCACACUGGGACUGAGACACGGCCCAGACUCCCACGGGAGGCAGCAGUGGGGAAUUUUGGACAAUGGGGGAACCCCAUCCAGCCACAACCGCGUGCGAUGAAGGCCUUCGCUGUAAAGCACUUUUGGCAGGAAAGAAACGGGCACGGGAUAAUACCCCGUGCAACUGACGGUACCUGCAGAAUAAGCACCGGCUAACUACGUGCCAGCAGCCGCGGUAAUACGUAGGGCGGCAAGCGACCGGAAUUACUGGCGUAAAAGCGUGCGCAGGCGGUUCGGAAAGAAAGAUGUGAAAUCCCAGAGCUUAACUUUCUUGAACCCAUUUAACUACCGAGCUAGAGUGUGUCAGAGGGAGGUGGAAUUCCGCGUAGCAGUGAAAUGCGUAGAUAUGCGGAGGAAAUCGAUGGCGAAGGUAGCCCCUAGAUAACACUGACGCUCAUGCACGAAAGCGUGGAGCAAACAGAGCGAUACCCUGGUAGUCCACGCCCCAAACGAUGUCAACUGCUAGCCUGUCGGUAGCGCAGCUAAUUGCGAAGUUGACUGCCUGGGGAGUACGGUCGCAAGAUUAAAACUCAAGGAAUUGACGGACCGCACAAGCGGUGGAUGAUGUGGAUUAAUUCGAUGCAACGCGAAAACUCCACUACCCUUGACAUGUCUGGAAUCCCGAAGAGAUUUGGGAGUGCUCGCAAGAGAACCGGAAACACAGGUGCUGCAUGGCUGUCGUCAGCUCGUGUCGUGAGAUGUUGGGUUAAGUCCCGCAACGAGCGCAACCCCUUGUCGCUGGUUGCUACGAAAGGGGCACUUUAAUGAGACUGCCGGUGACAAACCGGAGGAAGGUGGAUGACGCUGUCCUGGCGGCCCUGCGGUAGGGCUUCACACGUCAUACAGAAGGUCGGGACAGAGGGUCGCCAACCCGCGAGGGGAGCCAAUCCCAGAAACCCGAUCGCAGUCCGGAUCGGGCAGUCUGCAACUCGACUGCGUGAAGUCGGAAUCGCCAGUAACUCCGCGGAUCAGCAUGUCGCGGCGAAUACGUUCCCGGUCUUGUACACACCGCCCGUCACACCAUGGAGUGGGUUUUACCAGAAGUAGUUAGCCUAACCGUAAGGAGGGCGAUUACCACGGUAGGAUUCAUGACUGGGGUGAAGUCGUAAAUAGCAAAGGUAG